rnacentral:rRNA from 1 species
CACNAUGGGAGUUGGUCUUACCCGACGGCGCUGCGCCGACCCGCGAGGGGAGCAGGCGACCACGGUAGGGUCAGCGACUGGGGUGAAGUCGUAACAAGGUAGCCGUAGGGGAACCUGCGGCUGGAUCACCUCCUUUCUAAGGA